GACGAACGCUGGCGGCGUGCUUAACACAUGCAAGUCGAACGGAAAGGCCCUGCUUUUGUGGGGUGCUCGAGUGGCGAACGGGUGAGUAACACGUGAGUAACCUGCCCUUGACUUUGGGAUAACUUCAGGAAACUGGGGCUAAUACCGGAUAGGAGCUCCUGCUGCAUGGUGGGGGUUGGAAAGUUUCGGCGGGUGGGGAUGGACUCGCGGCUUAUCAGCUUGUUGGUGGGGUAGUGGCUUACCAAGGCUUUGACGGGUAGCCGGCCUGAGAGGGUGACCGGCCACAGUGGGACUGCGGUACGGCCCAGACUCCUACGGGAGGCAGCAGUGGGGAAUAUUGCACAAUGGGCGGAAGCCUGAUGCAGCAACGCCGCGUGCGGGAUGACGGCCUUCGGGUUGUAAACCGCUUUCGCCUGUGACGAAGCGUGAGUGACGGUAAUGGGUAAAGAAGCACCGGCUAACUACGUG
rnacentral:rRNA from 1 species